UUGCGGCUUCACGUUCGGCUGCCGAAGGUGGUCUGGCCAGCCACCUAUAAAAGGGCCAAGGGUCGGUGGAAGGAGGGUAUUUCUCCUCCACUUGCAGCCAGAGGUGAGUUUCAGCCUCUCCUACGUUGACUUUCAUGUUUUCCAUGAUUUUCAUCAAAUCUUUCAAGAGUUUUAAGAGUUUUGGUGAUUUAUGAAGGUUUUGAGCAAAAGAAGCAAGUUUUGAAGUUUGGAGCUUUGGAAGAGCUUUUCUUCAUAUCUCCACGUUAGGAUCCUUCAUCCUCAAGUUCUUAAGAGGUAAGUGAAGAUCCUGGGCUUCUUUGAUGGUUUUGAAAGGUUUUAUGAAGUUUGUAUGGG
rnacentral:lncRNA from 1 species